CCAAAGACUCAAAAUGGUGAAGGAAAGGGAGAAAGAUGAAGGUUAAGAAUGGAAGAAGUAGCUUUGGACAUGGAGGGAGUGAGGAUUGGAAAUAAAGGAGGUCAGGAUGAAAGCUGAGAAUAGAGAAAGCAAAGGUUAAGAACAAGGGAUUGAAUGAAGGCCAUGAUUUUAAUGAUAGUUUUUAGACACGAUCCAUUUUUCUAAUAAUGAUUAUGAUAGGAUGGAUUGAUUUAGUAAAUGGGUAGAUCACUUUUAUAUUUUUUUAUAUAUGUUUAUUGUAUAUAUAUAUA
rnacentral:lncRNA from 1 species